AUUGAACGCUGGCGGCAGGCUUAACACAUGCAAGUCGAGCGCGAAAAUCCCUUCGGGGGUGGACGAGCGGCGGACGGGUGAGUAACGCGUGGGAAUCUACCCAUUAGUGGGGGACAACCCGAGGAAACUCGGGCUAAUACCGCAUACGCUCUACGGAGAAAAGGAGGGGAUCUUCGGACCUCGUCGCUAUUGGAUGAGCCUGCGUUGGAUUAGCUAGGUGGUAGGGUAAAGGCCUACCAAGGCGACGAUCCAUAGCUGGGCUGAGAGGAUGAUCAGCCACACUGGGACUGAGACACGGCCAAGACUCCUACGGGAGGCAGCAGUGGGGAAUAUUGGACAAUGGGCGCAAGCCUGAUCCAGCAAUACCGCGUGUGUGAAGAAGGCCUGCGGGUUGUAAAGCACUUUCAGCAGCGAGGAAAAGCCUAGGGUUAAUAUCCAUGGGUCUUGACGUUAACUGCAGAAGAAGCACCGGCUAACUUCGUGCCAGCAGCCGCGGUAAUACGAAGGGUGCAAGCGUUAAUCGGAAUUACUGGGCGUAAAGCGCGCGUAGGCGGUAUUGUAAGUGGAAUGUGAAAGCCCCGGGCUCAACCUGGGAACUGCAUUCCAAACUGCAAAACUAGAGUAUGGUAGAGGAUAGUGGAAUUUCAGGUGUAGCGGUGAAAUGCGUAGAGAUCUGAAGGAACACCAGUGGCGAAGGCGACUGUCUGGACCAAUACUGACGCUGAGGUGCGAAAGCGUGGGGAGCAAACAGGAUUAGAUACCCUGGUAGUCCACGCCGUAAACGAUGUCAACUAGCCGUUGGGAGUCUUUUCCGCUUAGUGGUGCAGCUAACGCAAUAAGUUGACCGCCUGGGGAGUACGGCCGCAAGGCUAAAACUCAAAUGAAUUGACGGGGGCCCGCACAAGCGGUGGAGCAUGUGGUUUAAUUCGAAGCAACGCGAAGAACCUUCCCAGGUCUUGACAUCCAGAGAAUUUGCUAGAGAUAGCUUAGUGCCUUCGGGAACUCUGAGACAGGUGCUGCAUGGCUGUCGUCAGCUCGUGUUGUGAAAUGUUGGGUUAAGUCCCGUAACGAGCGCAACCCUUGUCCUUAUUUGCCAGCACGUAAUGGUGGGAACUCUAAGGAGACUGCCGGUGAUAAACCGGAGGAAGGUGGGGACGACGUCAAGUCAUCAUGGCCCUUACGAGCGGGGCUACACACGUGCUACAAUGGCCAGGACAAACGGCUGCAACCCCGCGAGGGUGAGCUAAUCCGAGAAACCUGGUCGUAGUCCGGAUCGCAGUCUGUAAUUCGACUGCGUGAAGUCGGAAUCGCUAGUAAUCGUGAAUCAGAAUGUAACGGUGAAUACGUUCCCGGGCCUUGUACACACCGCCCGUCACACCAUGGGAGUGGAUUGCACCAGAAGUAGCUAGCUUAACCUUCGGGAGGGCGGUUACCACGGUGUGGUUCAUGACUGGGGUG
rnacentral:rRNA from 1 species